rnacentral:rRNA from 1 species
AGUGCUUGCACUUCUGACGUUAGCGGCGAACGGGUGAGUAACACGUAAGGAAUCUACCUAUAAGCGGGGGAUAACAUUCGGAAACGGGUGCUAAUACCGCAUAAUAUCUUCUUCCGCAUGGAAGAAGAUUGAAAGACGGCUCUGCUGUCACUUAUAGAUGACCUUGCGGUGCAUUAGUUAGUUGGUGGGGUAACGGCCUACCAAGACGAUGAUGCAUAGCCGACCUGAGAGGGUGAUCGGCCACAUUGGGACUGAGACACGGCCCAAACUCCUACGGGAGGCAGCAGUAGGGAAUCUUCCGCAAUGGGCGAAAGCCUGACGGAGCAAUGCCGCGUGAGUGAAGAAGGCCUUCGGGUCGUAAAACUCUGUUAUAAGAGAAGAACAAAUUGUAGAGUAACUGCUACAGUCUUGACGGUAUCUUAUCAGAAAGCCACGGCUAACUACGUGCCAGCAGCCGCGGUAAUACGUAGGUGGCAAGCGUUGUCCGGAUUUAUUGGGCGUAAAGGGAGCGCAGGUGGUUUCUUAAGUCUGAUGUGAAAGCCCACGGCUUAACCGUGGAGGGUCAUUGGAAACUGGGAAACUUGAGUACAGAAGAGGAAUGUGGAACUCCAUGUGUAGCGGUGGAAUGCGUAGAUAUAUGGAAGAACACCAGUGGCGAA